rnacentral:rRNA from 1 species
AGUGAACGCUGGCGGUAGGCCUAACACAUGCAAGUCGAACGGCAGCACAGUAAGAGCUUGCUCUUACGGGUGGCGAGUGGCGGACGGGUGAGGAAUACAUCGGAAUCUACUUUUUCGUGGGGGAUAACGUAGGGAAACUUACGCUAAUACCGCACACGACCUACGGGUGAAAGCAGGGGAUCUUCGGACCUUGCGCGAUUGAAUGAGCCGAUGUCGGAUUAGCUAGUUGGCGGGGUAAAGGCCCACCAAGGCGACGAUCCGUAGCUGGUCUGAGAGGAUGAUGCGCCAAAAUGGAACUGAGACCCGGUCCCAACUCCUACGGGAGGAAGAAGUGGGGAAUAUUGGAAAAUGGGGGAAAGCCUGGUGCAGCCCUACCGGGUGGGUGAAGAAGGCCUUCGGGUUGUAAAGCCCUUUUGUUGGGAAAGAAAAGCAGCAGGUUAAUACCCCGCUGUUCUGACGGUACCCAAAGAAUAAGCACCGGCUAACUUCGUG